UACGGAGGGUGCAAGCGUUAUCCGGAUUUACUGGGUUUAAAGGGUGUGUAGGCGGGUCUUUAAGUCAGGGGUGAAAUCUCCGGGCUCAACCCGGAAACUGCCAUUGAUACUAUAGGUCUUGAAUAUUGUGGAGGUGGGCGGAAUGUGUCAUGUAGCGGUGAAAUGCUUAGAGAUGACACAGAACACCGAUUGCGAAGGCAGCCCACUACGCAACUAUUGACGCUGAGGCACGAAAGCGUGGGGAUCAAACAGG
rnacentral:rRNA from 1 species